ensembl:lncRNA
GCACCGGUUGCUGAGGAACAAGUUAUCCGUGUUGAGGGCACGGGGUUGCAAUUUGUAUUCGAGGGAAAUGUUAUGCUACAGAAAAGUAUUGUUGUAGAAGGUAAGGAUGUAUCUGAAGAGCCAGUUCCUCAGACUGGUGAGCAGGUGCCCAGUAUGAGUGCUGGGGUAAAGGAUGGGGUUCAUGUGGAGCUAGGCUCCCAGGGAGUGGAGGAGAUGCCCACUACGAGUGCUGGGGUUCAUGUAGAGCUAGGCUCCCAGGGAGUGGAGGAGAUGCCCACUACGAGUGCUGGGGUUCAUGUAGAGCUAGGCUCCCAGGUAGUGGAGGAGAUGCCCACUACGAGUGCUGGGGUUCAUGUGGAGCUAGGGUCCCAGGUAGUGGAGGAGAUGCCUGGUACGAGUGAUG